GUGUUCGUGGUGUAGCGGUCACUGCAUACCUGGCUGUGAACCAGGAGGUAAGGGUUCGACUCCCUUCGGGCACC
rnacentral:tRNA from 1 species